rnacentral:rRNA from 1 species
UUUANGAAUCCGAUUAAGACAUGCGAGUCGAGAGUCGUAAUGGACUCGGCGCACUGCUCAGUAACACGUGGAUAACAUACCCUAAAGUGGAGCAUAAUCUCGGAAAACUGAGGAUAAUACUCCAUAGGUCACGAGAUCUGGAAAGACUUGUGGCUCAAAGUUCCGGCGCUUUAGGAUUGGUCUGCGGCCUAUCAGGUAGUAGUGGGUGUAACGGACCCACUAGCCGAUGACGGGUAUGGGCCUUGAGAGAGGGAGCCCAGAGAUGGAUUCUGAGACACGAAUCCAGGCCCUACGGGGCGCAGCAGUCGCGAAAACUUCACAAUGGAGGCAACUCCGAUGAGGGAAUUCCUAGUGCCAAUGCAUUUUGUGUUGGCUUUUCUUCAGCGUAGAUAACUGUUGGAAUAAGGGCUGGGUAAAACGGGUGCCANCCGCCGCGGUAAUACCC